rnacentral:rRNA from 1 species
UCAUGAAAGCCGUUUGUACCCGAAGUCAUCGUGCCAACCGCAAGGAGGCAGAUGCCGAAGGUAUGGAUGGUGAUUGGGAUGAAGUCGUAACAAAGGUACC